rnacentral:lncRNA from 1 species
GUUUCGAAUACAAAAAUCAUUUAUUGUUCUGUAACCUGACCUAGGUAAAUCCACGAGAUUCGGUUAUCCCUUCCUAUUAUCAAUAACUAGAAAUGCCUGAACUAUGAAGUUUCUUAGGACUCAUCAAACGGAUAGAUGAAUUUUCGAAUUGUUCAAGAAACAAGCGAUCCAUUUUUUCGAUACCGAUAGAUCCCAAUUCCUCUUGUUACACCAACUACUCUUAGUCUUGAUGUUGGGUGGGGGGGAUUGAUAAAUAUUUUUAUGUAUUCCUCUAAUUUCUAUGUGUAUUAAACUAUUCCAGUAGCUUUUAUUUUAUUAUUUUCCUUUCUAUUUGACUCUUUCAUUUACUUUUAAUAACUUUCCUAUUAUUAAUAUAAUAUUAUUAUUCAUUUUUUAAUAUAUUAAUAUAUUGAAUUAAAUAAUAGGCGACUCAAAAUAAAAAUAAAAGUUUCCUUACUCGCAUCUGCAUUCUCCAUCACAUUAGCGGAACAAAAAUAUCGUAUCAUAUCAUAUGUAUCAAUAUGGAGGGAAAUUUUUAGUACAUGAAAUAGCGAUUUGCUAGAUACUCGAUAGAUAAAUAGAUAUAAAAAAAGGGGGGGAUCUUCUGUUCUGAAAUUGGAAUCAAAGAAAGAUAUUUAAGAUGGCUUGUAUGUUGUGAUUUGUAAUAAAUGUUUCUCCGUAAAGGAAGGGAAGAGCCGUUUUUUCAUUGUAAAUUUUUUCCUAUAGAACAUCUAGGAACAAGAAUAUUUAAUUGGAAAUAUCGACAGAUUCUCGCGUAGUCCAAAGAAAUAUGAAAAUAAUAAUAAAAAAAGAUCCAAUUUUAUCUCUAUCGAAUUUUAAUAUCAGAAUAGUGAAUAGAAUUCUGAUGCAAUGGGUUAGGUCCACUUACUUUUUCUUUUGUUGAUUUCUAAUCAAUUUAAUUGGCAUAAUGGAAAAUAGGAAAGUAAUCGGAAUAUUUUAUUCUAAGGAGACUACUUAAUCCGUAUUUAUUAUCCGUAUUUAUUAUAAUUUGCUAAUCUUAUUA